ACUGAACCACUCAAGUUUCCCGUUUUUCCGUUUUCGCUCCGUUUUUCAUUCGUUCCGUUUGCGUGUUUCGUUCAUUCCGUUUGCGUGUCAUUCAUUCCAUUCAUUUCGUUCAUUUCGUUUAAGUUUAUUCCGUGUUCCAUUCCGUGUUCCAUUCCGUUUAUACACGACAUAGCAUGAUAACAUGAUAACAAGCGUGUUGUUCGGUAAAUUGUGAAGCUAAUCAUUUCGUUUUAGAACGUUUACAGCGUGUGUGAACGAUUAUAUCAUUCUAAAACGAAAGGUAAUUGGGUUCGUUUCACAGAUAAAUUUCGUAUUUUAUAAUCACAUCAUCACAUGUAUUUUUUCUUUAUUAAAAAAAAACGACAAUCACCACAUGAUGGUCACUGGCUCAGGUCUGAAUAGACCGUUUUUUUUAAUUAAAUGAUGUGAAAUUUUGUUAAAAAAGAAUUUGUUCGCAGUAUAGUCAUUAAAAACUUGUUGAGACAUGGAAAUAUUAUAUUUUACUUUCAUGCUGUCAGAUUAAAUGUAUUCACAGGUUCAUUAUUUAUUUUUUUGUAAAA
rnacentral:lncRNA from 1 species